UACUGUAUGUUGUAAAAGAGGGUAAGAACAGUCCACUGAGUUUGGUAAUAAAGGCGUCAUUUUCUAAGGAAACAUUGCUUACUUCUUUAUAAAAUCACAUCCCAUCCUGCAUUGACUGUGGUGGAGGACAGAAGGGGGGGUAUCCCCCUUUUUAGCCUGCAGUGGGCCAUCUCCCUCCUGCACGCACACCAGCCGUUUACAGCAUCCGGGUCCUGCAGCAACGCCUAAGUCCUCUGCGUAGACCCGACUCCUCAGUUUGCGCAACCGCUCCUCUCUGUCCCCUUCAGAGUUCCUGUUUCCGGUGUAGAGACGGGGACUUGCUUGUUCCCCAGUGACUGGCGGCCUCUGCUUGGAGGGUUGGUCUCACCAGAACAGCUCGCAGAGCGCAGCGUACUUAGCUCCGUGUUCCCGAAGGUUGCUCGGGCCAUGUCUGCACCAGCUCACCUCACCGUAUUCAGUAUGCAUGGUCAUUGUAUGGUCCUACAUUACUGUGUAACGCCGGGACUACUUACAUCCAGCUGAGUAUCUUGGGCAUUACAACAUGUGGUGCCAGAAAGGAACUCUGGAUUUGUACACGAUGAUUCCAUCCUCAUCUGUGUUUCCUGACACGUUUGGACAGGAGUCUGGCAGCCCAAGGUACAAAGAGAGACCCUGGGCUACACUUUAGCAUGUUUUCAGUUUCUUGUGGGUUAAUGGUUAAUAUAGAAAUGCAACAAAGUAUGACUGCUUUAUCAGGGUUGCAUUCAGCCUUGAAGCAAUUUCCAUUUUUAUAUGUUCACUUACACCAGUUUGUAUGAUAUGAAAUCAAUGAGAAGAGAACUGUGUUGGCAAGAACUCUGCCUGGUAAAAAAGAGACAUUUUCUUAGACCAUGUAUGCCUUUAAACAUUGUUAUUUAAAAAUUUGUUAUUUCCUUGCAAAAACGUGAUUACAGCAUUACAAGGAAGCUAUUGCAGUUGGACAGUAGCCUUCUUUCAGCUCUCUUUGAGCAAAUAUUGUAAAUGUCUAGUGUGAGUGCAGUCACAUGUUAUAAUGGAAACUAAAUAAAAGGAUAUAACAUUUAAAAUUGGUCAGAAAGUCAGAGAAAGGUUGGCUUUUUGGUACAUUUUUAGAUCAUUAUUGGUUGGCUUGAACUGCUUCAUGCUGUUAUAGGAACAAAAUUAUUAGAGAAUGAAAUAAAGCAUUCAAAUGAUUUAAUGAAGAUUUUUGUUUUACUGAGGUAAUUGACCUCAGUUUCAAGUAAAUACCCACAUCUCUCAAUUAAUAACUAUUUUUAAUGCUUUUUCUGCUUCCUUCAUUGUCUCACUGCCAACCAUCAGUUAUUACAACUGUGAGAACGCCCGAAUCUAGAAGCUACCCCUUUUAAUUUCUUGCUUCUAAUCUGCAAUGGAGAGAGGAGUUAGAUCAUUUCUAAAAUAAGAGUGAACAAGCUCUGUGUGAAAGUCAGUUUUCCAAUGGUGAAUGGGGUAACCUUAGUAUAUUGGUUUGUGAUUUGUACCCCCUGGAUAUUUAAAGGCUCCUGUUACUUACUUCAAAUGUUCUCAACCAUGUCCAGAUGAGGAUGCAACUUUUGGUUAAGUAAUAUGCUUUUAUAACAAAUUAAAAAUUUCAGGGACAGCUAGCUCAUUUGGAGGACCAUGCGACUCUUGAUCUCAGAAUCUUGAAUUGGAGCCCCACAUUGAGCCUGGAGCCUACUUAAAAAGAAUAAAUAAAUUAAAAAAAAACAAACAAAAAUUUUAGGGACUUUUUAUAUAGCUAAGCUCUAUACUUGUACAUAAGUUAUUUUCACUUGGUUAUUACCUUGCUCAAACCUUCCAAGUAUUUAAUGUCAAGAGAGUAUUUAAUGUCAAAAGGAACAUAUCUAGAGUCUCUAUUUUGUAUGUCUUAUUCUUCUAAAUUGACCCCUUUCCCUUCUCUACCUAUUUGUGACAUGGCUUCAUUGUUUCCUGGAUAUCCCUUGCUUGCUUUUACCUAUACGUAAUAUUUAAACUGUUGCUUUGAGUUAAGGCAAAUUUUCCUACCUUCUCAUCCUUUUAAUUGCCUGUAACUGCAUAGUUUUUCCCAUUGGGAAGCUGAUCAAAUACUGUCUUUGAGUAUGCUCUUAUCUGCUCUGAACAAAUGUAUGUUCCUUCUUCAGUAGGAAGAUUCUUCAGAAGGAAAGAAUAUUAUUAUCUCUUUUAUGUUCUUCCCAUUAUCUUGUCUUAUGUCUGGUAUGUCUAUUCAGUCAGGGAUGAUGGAGCAACACAGGAAGGCUAGUGAUUUGAGCAAAAUUGUUUACCCUUCUUUGUAUAUAUCUUUACUUCUCCUGGCACAAGCCUUCUUUGUGUAAAGGAGUCUGAAUGUUGUCUUGCUACAUCAGAAUGGAUGGGAAAAAAUGAUUACUUAAUCACUCAUGUAUAUGUGUGCAAGGCUUUAAAGGAAACGGGUUCGAAAAAUCUGGUUGCAUGCACAGAAGGUGAGACACCAGGUCCACUUGUAGACAUUGGAUGGUUUCUGGCAUUUUUUUCAGAUGAGAGGAUUUCUUGUCUCCAGUAUAUGGUUCACAUAUAUGACUGAUACACUCUCUUGUCAUGGACCCUUUAUAUAUCUAGUUAUAUAGGUAAUUUUUGUAAUUGUUAUUCCCAUCUCAACGUUUAUAUUUUGUCAAAGGGAAUCUUUUCCAUUAUGUUUCUUCUCCAUUUUGAAACGACUC